AAUACCUAGGAAUCUGCCUGGUAGUGGGGGACAACGUUUCGAAAGGAACGCUAAUACCGCAUACGUCCUACGGGAGAAAGCAGGGGACCUUCGGGCCUUGCGCUAUCAGAUGAGCCUAGGUCGGAUUAGCUAGCUGGUGAGGUAAUGGCUCACCAAGGCGACGAUCCGUAACUGGUCUGAGAGGAUGAUCAGUCACACUGGAACUGAGACACGGUCCAGACUCCUACGGGAGGCAGCAGUGGGGAAUAUUGGACAAUGGGCGAAAGCCUGAUCCAGCCAUGCCGCGUGUGUGAAGAAGGUCUUCGGAUUGUAAAGCACUUUAAGUUGGGAGGAAGGGUACUUACCUAAUACGUGAGUAUUUUGACGUUACCGACAGAAUAAGCACCGGCUAACUCUGUGCCAGCAGCCGCGGUAAUACAGAGGGUGCAAGCGUUAAUCGGAAUUACUGGGCGCAAAGCGCGCGUAGGUGGUUCGUUAAGUUGGAUGUGAAAUCCCCGGGCUCAACCUGGGAACUGCAUCCAAAACUGGCGAGCUAGAGUAGGGCAGAGGGUGGUGGAAUUUCCUGUGUAGCGGUGAAAUGCGUAGAUAUAGGAAGG
rnacentral:rRNA from 1 species